AUAAUGCAUCUAUUUUCUAUUGGACUAGUUUGUCCAUUAUAGAAUAGUGAUUGUGUUCAUGUUUUAGAUCUUGUGUUUUUUGGUUUUCCUUUUCAAUCUUGUGAUUCUACUACCAAUUCAAAUUACCUUUUGGAUGUACUUUUCUGGUGUAUAGGAUUCUAUCAAUCUGGCAACCAUUCUCUACUAUUUAUACAGGUUAUGCACAGGCACCAGAAGUAUUUUAUGUGAGUAUUGAAGGUGGUUGGAUUUGGUAUUAGAUUGUAAAAAUAAUGGGUUUUUAGCAUAGAUGCUUCUUCAAGCCAGAUGGUAAGGUAGAGCUGGUAGAACCAGAAUAUGGUGGAGCCAUCUCUCCACAGUGCACAUUGUAGGGCCACGGAGCAGAUGGGUAUCCAAUCUAAGUGUAGUUUGAAAUCAUCCAAUCACCCUGCCAUGUUUACUUUGCAAAUCUACCAGCACACAUCUAAUUCUUUAGUUACGGAUGUACAAAGAAGCUAUUCUUCUUUAGAUAGGAUUCCUUAUAUCACAAUUUUUCCGAGGAGGAACUGAUGCGAGUUCAUGAAUAUAAUUUUGACUAUCUUGUGGGAGGAUCCUUAUAAAUUGUUUGGCAGGUCAAUCCUUCAGAUGUGAUAAUUUUGGAAGGGAUACUUUUUUCAUAUUGUUUCCAAAAAUGCUGUGAUCUAGUCUAGUUACUCAUGUAUAUGAACCAUGCAACAAAGUGGCAGCUGUAAAAGCUAAAAGACCAUCUUUACGUGCAUGAAAUCCACCCUCUCCAUAAGGGAUCUAUCUUACAACAAUUUCAGUGGAGAUUGCCAGUCUCAUUCAGUAAUUUCCAUUUUACCAUCAUCAUGGGCAAAGUAGUAACUAGUUUGUAUUUCUGUAGCCAUCAUGGGAAAGGAGAAGGUUCAUAAUAACAUU